rnacentral:lncRNA from 1 species
UCCACAAACAUCUCGCCAACGGGUCGCCCAGAGCUGCGUACACCCGUGGUCAGGGAUCUUUCCGGUGGGUAGGGGAUUAUGCCACAAACUCAACCCGCGGCCCAAGACCCCCGAUAGGGAAGGGGACAUGCCACACUCAACCCUAGCAAAGCACGAUUCUGCCGACGGGAAGGGGAACCUGCCACACUCGACCCACUGUCACGGGUCGAUCGUUGGGACUCGACCGUGACACCUUUGAGGGCCAUAUUUGGUAGGCAUUUGGGUUGAUGAAGUUAUGGAGUUGCGGAGUUGAGGCGUUCCGUCAGGUAGGAGUCGCUGUCAAGUCAACGGGGGCAAUUCCCUAGCAAUGGCCCGUUCCAUGACAUAGAAAUAGGUGCCGCAUGCAAGGUUGGAAAACGUACCCCUCGGUGAGCACCUUCGUACCCCCGGGGUGCCAAAGGAGUGGAUGCCUCGUAAGGGUAUUAGAGGAGGGGUGGACACUUCGUAAGUGGCCCCGACUCCCCCGUCGACCCAUAGGACAUGGGUCGUCCCUUGGCUAGUGGAGUAGCCAAGCCUAGCGUUUCGUGUAGCCGGGCAAUGGACGGUUGAAGGGACACGGGCCUAGGGUAAUGUCGGAGACGCGAGAGGUCGACGACAUUACGGAAGCGGGGAAUAUCGGGAGGCUUCCUCCCUAGGAUCGCUUGUGCUACCUUAUGCCGGUUUGGAUCUCUGUAGUGGAGCGUACGAGCAGAUGAGGACAAGGCUCGCGGAGGCAGGUGUGCCGAGCUGGGAUUCGUGGGGUGCGGCGCCCACGAAGGCCAAGGAGGCGGGACUCAAUGGGAACGCUAAAGGGAGGCACGCCGAGGGAGAAUUCGUAAGGUGGGUAGCCUACGAGACUCGAGGGGCGGAACCCAAUGAGGCAAGCGCUAUCGGUAUCCGUAUAGUGAACCUUGAGAGACUGGGCCAAUGGUGUGAGCGGCCAGGUGUGGCCGAGCCAAAGACGGGGCCAGUGGCUAGCGAUGCGGAGCAAGGCCGGUUCGUUUGUAUGGGGCCUUAUGAGGCGAACCUAUGGGAGUCAAGGGCGCGGAGCGCUGUGGCAAAGCGAGGGUCGUUGAGACAGUCGAGAAGCACGGUGUGGACUUGUUGGUUCCCUGGUCAGGAGCGAUGGGACACGAGGGUUGCACAGGUCGAAUGCGAAGCACGGAGGUGCGAAGCAUGGACGUGCGGGGUGUCAUGCUGAGGUGCUGAUGUUGGGGACAAGCGAGCUUGUGGCGCACACUUGGGUGGCUUUUCGGAGGUAAGCCGUUGGACCGAGCGAGCAGGUUGCGUAUGCGGUAUGGCCAUGGGCGUUGUCAGGCGCUUGAGGUACGAUGAUGAGGAACUUAUGGUUAUGAGUGCCCUUCGUGGCAUGCGAUGUCGCGAAGCCCGGACCUCGACGCUUGAGGCGUGCGGUUUGAGUCGCGAGGGCGAGACGCGUGGGAGGCGAGACGCUUGGCUAUACUCAUAUUGGACAAGUUGGGGGAGAACUUGUAAUGUCCUUGGGCUGGCGACGAAGGCAACAAGGCAUUCGGUUGUGAAGCACUCUCGAGGAGAGAUUGGCAAGACAGGAUGCACCUAGCUUGGUGGCCAACCUCGGUAUUGGGGUUGCUCGUUGGGAACUCGUGGAGUUCGACGAGGGGUUCGAUUACAGGCGAAGGGUCGGGCUGUAAGUCUCGUGGAGGAGCAAGCUUGGCAAAAUGCUUGGAUUGGUAUUCCGCUAUUAAGUCUGGGAGACUUGUCCGUGUAAGGGACUCGAGAAGGCUGGCUCGGGUGUGCGACACUUGAGCGCCGCGCGGGGAUUUUGAGGCGAAAAAGCUAACCCCGUGACACCGCGGCCUCGAAUCAGUCAACAGCUCAUCCUCGAAGUUCGUCCAGUGGGAGGGGAACCUGUCACACUCAACCCAUUGCUCUAGAACUGUCGAGUUCACAAUCCUAAGAUUCCGGAAUCUAUUUCCCAAGCCUCUAGGGUAAUCUCAAACCCUAUGAUAUCGACCUAUCUAGGUCCNUUGAUCCUGCCAGUAGUCAUAUGCUUGUCUCAAAGAUUAAGCCAUGCAUGUGUAAGUAUGAACUACUUCAGACUGUGAAACUGCGAAUGGCUCAUUAAAUCAGUUAUAAUUUGUUUGAUGGUACCUGCUACUCAGAUAACCGUAGUAAUUCUAGAGCUAAUACGUACAACAAACCUUGACUUCCGGAAGGGACGCAUUUAUUAGAUAAAAGGCCGACACGGGC